CUGCCAUUGUGUCGUAUCAAAUCAAUCAUCUUUCACUCAACUCUCUUUCUCUUCAUUGGAUCUCACCAUUUGGCGUAAAUUUGACAGUCCUCAUUUUCUAUAUAUAGGGACUUUUCCUCCCAUUUCCUCAUCACUUCUAUUUCAUUCUUUCAUUUUCCAAGAGUUUAGAGAGAGGGGGGAGUGAUCUAGAGAGAAAAUGAGAUAAGAAGAAUGAUGUAGAAAACUUUAAGGUUUGGGUAAAAAAUUUAGUAUUUCUUUAAACAUCUUA
rnacentral:lncRNA from 1 species